rnacentral:rRNA from 1 species
GACGAACGCUGGCGGCGUGCUUAACACAUGCAAGUCGAACGGAAAGGCCAUGCUUUUGUGGGGUGCUCGAGUGGCGAAGGGGUGAGUAACACGUGAGUAACAUGCACCUGACUUUGGGAUAACUUCAGGAAACUGGGGCUAAUACAGGAUAGGAGCUCCUGCUGCAUGGUGUGGGUUGGAAUGUUUCGGCCGUUGGGGCUGGACUCGCGGCUUAUCAGCUUGUUGGUCGGGUAGUGGCUUACCAAGGCUUUGACGGGUAGCCGGCCUGAGAGGGUGACCGGGCACAUUGGGACUGAGAUACGGCGCAGACUCCUACGGGAGGCAGCAGUGGAGAAUAUUGCACAAUGGGCCGGAGCCAGAUGCAGCAGCGCCGCGUGCGGGAUGACGGCCUUCGGGUUGUAAACCACUUUCGCCUGUAACGAAGCGUGAGUGACGGUAAUGGGUAAAAAAGCACCGGCUAACUACGUG